ACGGAAGGCAGCAGUGAGGAAUAUUGGUCAAUGGGCGGAAGCCUGAACCAGCCAAGUCGCGUGAAGGAUGAAGGUAUUAUGUAUUGUAAACUUCUUUAGCAGCAGGGUAAUAAGGUCCUCGUGAGGACCGAUGCAAGUAUGCUGAAAAUAAGGAUCGGCUAACUCCGUGCCAGCAGCCGCGGUAAUACGGAGGAUCCGAGCGUUAUCCGGAUUUAUUGGGUUUAAAGGGUGCGCAGGCGGCUUUUUAAGUCAGCGGUAAAAUCGUGGGGCUCAACCCCAUCCUGCCGUUGAUACUGGAGAGCUUGAUGGCGGUUGAGGUUGGCGGAAUUCGUCGUGUAGCGGUGAAAUGCAUAGAUAUGACGAAGAACACCGAUUGCGUAGGCAGCUGACCAAGCCGUAAAUGACGCUCAUGCACGAAAGUGCGGGGAUCGAACAGGAUUAGAUACCCUGGUA
rnacentral:rRNA from 1 species